CCCGCUGAACUUAAGCAUAUCAAUAAGCGGAGGAAAAGAAACUAACAAGGAUUCCCCUAGUAACUGCGAGUGAAGCGGGAAAAGCUCAAAUUUAAAAGCUGGCGGUCUUUGGCCGUCCGCAUUGUAAUCUAGAGAAGUGUUACCCGCGUUGGACCGUGUACAAGUCUCCUGGAAUGGAGCGUCAUAGAGGGUGACAAUCCCGUCUUUGACACGGACUCCCAAGGCUUUGUGGUGCGCUCUCAAAGAGUCGAGUUGUUUGGGAAUGCAGCUCAAAAUGGGUGGUAAAUUCCAUCUAAAGCUAAAUAUUGGCGAGAGACCGAUAGCGAACAAGUACCGUGAGGGAAAGAUGAAAAGAACUUUGGAAAGAGAGUUAAACAGUACGUGAAAUUGCUGAAAGGGAAACGCUUGAAGUCAGUCGCGUCGUCCGGAGAUCAACCUUGCUUUUGCUGGGCGUACUCUCCGGUUGACGGGCCAGCAUCAGUUUUGGCCACUGGAAAAGGGCGGAGGGAAUGUGGCAUCUUCGGAUGUGUUAUAGCCUUCCGUCGUAUACAGUGGCUGGGACUGAGGAACUCAGCACGCCGCAAGGCCGGGAUUUAUCCACGUUCGUGCUUAGGAUGCUGGCAUAAUGGCUUUAAUCGACCCGUCUUGAAACACGG
rnacentral:rRNA from 1 species